UGGGGAAUAUUGGACAAUGGGCGCAAGCCUGAUCCAGCCAUGCCGCGUGAGUGAUGAAGGCCCUAGGGUUGUAAAGCUCUUUUGCGCGGGAAGAUAAUGACGGUACCGCAAGAAUAAGCCCCGGCUAACUUCGUGCCAGCAGCCGCGGUAAUACGAAGGGGGCUAGCGUUGCUCGGAAUCACUGGGCGUAAAGGGUGCGUAGGCGGAUCUUUAAGUCAGAGGUGAAAGCCUGGGGCUCAACUCCAGAACUGCCUUUGAUACUGAGGGUCUUGAGUAUGGGAGAGGUGAGUGGAACUGCGAGUGUAGAGGUGAAAUUCGUAGAUAUUCGCAGGAACACCAGUGGCGAAGGCGGCUCACUGGCCCGAUACUGACGCUGAGGCGCGAAAGCGUGGGGAGCAAACAGG
rnacentral:rRNA from 1 species